AUGCGUAUUUCAGGCGGAGUGCCGGGGAGGGGAGGCGCUUAGCGUUCGGGUAAUUAAGGUUGCAAAAUGGCGAGGGGGGAGGUAAGCUGUCUUUGCUUGGCCAUCUUGGGCUAGCAGGCCUUGCAGAGAACCACCUUUUUAGCUGAGUGAAGGAAUCAACCUGAGUUGGAGUUCUCCUAUGCUGUGGCCAGAUCCACUAGAAAUUAACCCAGAAUCUUAGCCUCUCACUGGCCUAUCGGUGAUGCCACACACAAUCAGAAACUAUGCUACUGUUGAAGAGGUAUAUUGAGCCCUGCCUGGUUAACCUCCAGUGAGGUUAUUAGAGAAUUGGGAGAGGCUCAAAUCAGCAUCCUGCACCUAGUUAUCAAACCAUUGUGAAGUCUUGAUUCCUGGAUGGCCAGAAAACUUGUCAUUGGUCAAGAGCAACAUUAAGAUCUGCCUGUUACUCAUACUGAUGCUUCCUGCCCAGCAAGUUCAUCAGAGGGCGAGGAUGAAUUAUGGUUGCCAUGGAUGUCCUUGUGAGGCAGUUGGGAAGCCUUGGCUGGAUUGUGAAGGAUAUUUGAAAAGUAUUUUAGAGUCCACCAGAUCAUCCAUGUGAGUGAUCAUGCAGCAAAAGAAGGAGGGUCCUCUCAGUGGUUAAGGUAACAUAGUGAUUAAGGAUUAUGAAGUAUUAAUUCUUCCACUGAUACCUCAAAAGGUGAUCUGGACAAAGGAACAGGUAUCUCAGAGACAGGGUUUUGCCAUGUUGCCCAGGCUAGAUUUGAACUCCUGGGCUCAAGUGAUCCUCUCGACCCAGCCUCCUGAGUAUCUGAGUACCCCUGUGCCUGCUCACUCAUUUAAAGUUCUACACAUCAAAUACUAAAUUCUCAUCUACUUGACUUCUGGACUCACUGGUUGGUGUCAUUGACUCUCUUUUCCUGUGAUAGCAUAGAAUUAUUUUGAUUGUGGAAGUACUAUAAAUGUUGCUAUUUAUUGUGCCUCUUGCUGCCUAUGUUUAGACUCAUUUAUGUGAUGCCAUUUCAUAUACUCUAAAUUUUUUGGUUCUAUUUUAAUAAUGUUUGAGUCAGUGACUUUUCAUGACUCUUGACUUCCCUACUUCAACAGUUUACUAGUCUCCAUCUUGAAUGUUUUUAUUAAUCUAUUUUGUAUUAAUUCUACCCAGGUUUUUUGUUUUUCCUUGCUACUAUUAUAUAUAUUUCUGCCAGAUGUCACAUGGUAUAAAUGCCUAUAUGGACUUUUGUAACAGAAAAUUUACUUACUAGAAUUAAUGUAGGGGGCUUUUUAAUAAGAGUGCAUGUAACAUAGUAACAGUAGCAGAGCUAUAUCAGAAACAGUUCUGAUAAUAUUUCGUGAUCUAUAGUUUGUUGCAUGCCCAUUGCUUCAUACUGCUUGUGUUCUUGGUUGAGUCGUAAGUAAUUUUUAUGGGGUGUGUCAUGACUGUCAUAUUCAUAGAGAGUUGUCUGCCUUGCCCCAUGGUCUUUGCGUGGCUUAAACAGGACCCCUUUUCAUACAAAAGUCAUUCAAUUUUAUGUUUUUAAUAGCAUCAAUUUUAGUGUUUAACAUGUGACUCUGGACUAUGCAUCAGAAUACUUGACUGUUAAUGUGAAAUGAAAAUUCAUAGAUAUAAUAAUUUACGUAACAUAAUUUAACAUUUCUGUAUUAAUAAGACUUUAGAUUGUCCCUUUCACAAAAAAAUGGUGCGGUUAAAACUUAAUCCUGUGUCUUUUUGUGAGUAGUUCUAUGAUUUCUAUAUGAUGGCAUCCUUGAAAAAGUUGAUAAAAAUAAGAAUAGUUCUUAUUUAUUAAAGUUCUUCUCAAAUUGCUCUUCCAAAACAUUUUAGUUUAUACUGCAGUGUUAACCAUUUUACACUUGCUUAAGUAAUUUUCUUCAAAUACACACGAGUCCAGGCUAUUUAACCUGUAUUUUACCGCUGUAGCACAAAACAGGUUUUCCAAAAUUGUCCUUGCACACCUGGGAUUUUACAAGGAUAUUAUAAACUUGGUUCAGUUUGACUUACUGAAUUUGUAGUAAGUAUGUUUUAGCACAUAGAAAAUUCAAAAUAUGUGUUAAUCUGUUUAUAGGGUAAAUUUUUAUGAGGGUGGAUGUCAUCCUGUUUUGUUCUUUUUUUUAAAUAAAUGUUUUGUUUCACAAUGUUUUUUAUUUACAGAAAAGUUACAUAGUACAGAGAGUUCCCAUAUGCUCCACACCCAGUUUUCCCUAUUGUUAAUAUCUGGAAUUAGUAUAGUACAUUUGUCUCCUUCUCCUUUUCGCCCUUGGUAACCUCUAAUUUACUUUCAGUCUCUGAAUUUGCCCAUUCCAAAUAUUUUGUAUAACUAGAAUCAUACAAUAUUUGUCCUUUUGCUUCUGGCGUAUUUCAUUUAGCACAAUGCCUUCAAGGUUCAUCCAUGUUAUAGCAUAUGUCAGAACUUUAUUCUUUUUUAUAGCUGAAUAAUAUUUCAUUGUGUGUAUAUGCCACAUUUUGUUUAUCAUUCAUUUUGUUUAUGUACCAUGUUUUGUUUAUAUACCACAUCUAUUAGUAUGUAUUUGUUUAGAUAUGCAAUUUGCUUAUAUACCACAUUUUGUUUUUCUGCUAUCUAAUGGAUUAUGCUGCUCUGGAACAUUCAUGUGAUGCUUUUGUUAAUUGCUUACACAUUUUAUUAAGCUAAUGAGCUUGGUCAUGGUAACAUAUAAAAUCAAGAAUCGUUUAACUUUUGCAAUAAAAAUCUUGACGUUGACUCUGAAGUAUUAAGAUGCAACUUCAAUGUACUGGGAUUGUGAGGCAGCCAUAGCGAUAUUACCACAGGCUUUCCAAAAAUUAACACAAAUAUUUUCUAUUCUAGAUGUGAUAUCUUUGGCAUUACUGUUCAUUCUUUUUAUCCUUGAUUAAAGUGAAACAAUUACAUUAAAAUAGUUUUAUGAUUUAAAAA